rnacentral:rRNA from 1 species
GAUGAACGCUGGCGGUAUGCCUAACACAUGCAAGUCGUACGAGAGUUUUUAACUCUAGUGGCGGACGGGUGAGUAACACGUGAGAAUUUACCUUUAGGAGGGGGGAUAACAAUUGGAAACGAAUGCUAAUACCCCAUAUGCUUUUGAGUGAAAUGGAUUUAUAAUUAUCCGCCUAAAGAAAAGCUCGCGGCUGAUUAGCUUGUUGGUAAGGUAAGAGCUUACCAAGGCGACGAUCAGUAUCUGGUUUGAGAGGACGAUCAGACACACUGGAACUGAGACACGGUCCAGACUCCUACGGGAGGCAGCAGUGGGGAAUUUUCCGCAAUGGGCGAAAGCCUGACGGAGCAAUACCGCGUGAGGGAAGACUGCCUAUGGGUUGUAAACCUCUUUUUUCAGGGAGGAAUAAAAUGACGUGUACCUGAAGAAUAAGCAUCGGCUAACUCCGUG